AUGGCGAUAGCGAUAGCGAGGGCGGCUCCUCACAGCUAGCUCAUAGCUUCACGAUAGUCCCCUCCAUUAUGUCCUCACAGGACAGCAUUUAUAUCAGCAGAGAGAGGAGAAAGGGAAAAAAAAAUCUUCCUAUGACUUGCUGCUCUACACAUAGCAUCCUUGACUGGGCUUCCCAGUUACACCUUGCUGAGUAAAGCACAACUAACUCCAGCCAAUCACUUUACGAAGCCCAUGCAGUUGCUUUCUCUCCCUUGCUUUCCUGAGUGCUGAGUCAGCUGGUGAACAUGGUCAAUUCAGAAAGAAAAAUCUACCCAGGGCAGGAUGGACAACAGUGAGAAAAUGCUCCUACAUCUGAGCCAUCAAGGUCGACUUGCAAAUGAGCAUACACACAGUCUUAUCUCAGAUUCUGCCUUCAGGGAGUCUGCUGUUCAAACACCAAGUGAAUAAAAUCCGUGUCUUUCUAAGAAGAAGGCUACGUAGCUGUUGACCCAUUGGAGCAGUGGAGAGGAUGGAUUUAUUUCAUCUUAGAGGUUGCAGCCCAUCACCAAGGGAUGCCAGAGCAGGAACUCCAGCAUGAGCCUGAAGCAGAAACUGUGGAAGAUGCUGGCUCAGGCUCCUGCUUAGCAAAGAAUCUCUCCAAGUAAAAAGUAGACUUUGUGCCCCACAUAAAUCCUGAAAGAUGAUUGCACUUCAAGCCAAAAAUUCAGGGCAAACUGUCAACGUCCACCAAGAAUGUGCCUCCUGUGGACUGCUUGGGAAAGCCGGGACCAGGAGAAGAACAGCCAUUACAUAAGGAGAAAAGGGAAUGCCAUCAAACAUGAUCUCAAAAGAGUAGUCACCUUUGUGCCACUUCAUGUAGUUUAAAGUCUGCAAAACUCUACUUGGCAGACACUUAGGUAGUGACUUGUAAACAGGACACACAGAGCUGAUGGAUAAAAAAAAAAUUCUGUGAGAUGUAUCCCCACCUGUAAGGGGCCCACCAGGCAUGCGGGUACAGGUGCCUCAUAAGGAAAGAUCUGCUGGGCAGGCCUGGCAGAUUGGAAGAAUUGGUGACAUUUGAGGUGGGAAGAUGGCAGGAUUCAGUGGGUAGAGAUGGGAGAGAAAGUGGUUCUAGACUCAUGUGAUCAGUAUAGACCACCCUCAGCAGACAGAGACCCUGUUUGUGGGAAUAGCUCCACUGGGACAAGUGACAAGAAAGGUGGCUUUCAGAAUGUGACUUAUUAGUCAUAAGAGACUUGAAGGUUUCCAUGGUUUUAUUUGGGAAGACAGAAGACAUGUGAGAGUUUGGCCAAAGACGUGAGUGCUCGGGCUGAGCUUGGCUGCAGUGAUUCUGGGGGAAGACAAUGUGAUAAAUAGAUUUAAGGAUUUAAAGAGAGUUUGGAGGCAGAUGACUCUCUUGUGCUUUUACCUUUUCUUCUCUAACACACUGCUUAGGUUUAAGGAGAUGUUAGACAUUAACAAGCAUGAGUUGCAUAGCCAUGCCCUCCUCUCAGGAUGUACGAUUCCCAGCUGCGCUAUGAGACAACAUCUACCAUCUUAAUGCCUCCUGCUUCUUGUAGGAAGCUGACUUAAGAUUUUUGCCCCUGCUAAUGAAGGUUGUGUGUUGCACUGAGAAGUAUUUACCAGUGCUGCCUAAAAAAAAUGCAAUGUGAGCUUGAGCCUUUGAUCUAACAACUCUGUGGCUGGAACUUGUCUCAAGAAAAAGAUGGCUACAAAGAUUUAGCUAUUAAAAAUUCCAACUCUGCGCUGCAUCGAAAGCUAAACAAUUGGAAACAGCCUAGCUAUCUGAGAAGAGAAGGGCAAAUAAGUUAUUCAGCCAAUGAAACUUCACAGAAGACUAUCUGAUAGUGUGGGGAAAUGCUAUAAC